CCUACGGGUGGCUGCAGUGGGGAAUAUUGCACAAUGGGCGAAAGCCUGAUGCAGCCAUGCCGCGUGUGUGAAGAAGGUCUUCGGGUUGUAAAGCACUUUCAGCGGGGAGGAAGGCGGUGAGGUUAAUAACCUCAUCGAUUGACGUUACCCGCAGAAGAAGCACCGGCUAACUCCGUGCCAGCAGCCGCGGUAAUACGGAGGGUGCAAGCGUUAAUCGGAAUUACUGGGCGUAAAGCGCACGCAGGCGGUCUGUCAAGUCGGAUGUGAAAUCCCCGGGCUCAACCUGGGAACUGCAUUCGAAACUGGCAAGCUAGAGUCUUGUAGAGGGGGGUAGAAUUCCAGGUGUAGCGGUGAAAUGCGUAGAGAUCUGGAGGAAUACCGGUGGCGAAGGCGGCCCCCUGGACAAAGACUGACGCUCAGGUGCGAAAGCGUGGGGAGCAAACAGGAUUAGAUACCCUAGUAGUC
rnacentral:rRNA from 1 species